UAAGAAAAUUGAGGCAGAAGAGUCCUCAGGCUUGAAGAUGUGAUGAUUCUGGAUGAGCAACACUGGAACUAGCUCUCAACACCUCUCUGAGAACAACCAGCACUAGGGGACGUGGGAUCCAGGGGGUCGGAAAACACUCACUGUCCACUGGCAAGGAGCCUGGAAACAGAGAAAAUGGUGUGGGAUGUUGAAGUAUGUGGACGCUGGUGGGAAGAAGUGAGGGGUCAAAUGUCACUACUCAAUAUUUUGUCAAAGACUGCACAGACACCAAAUGGUUCAUGCGUUCAUUCAGCCAUUCAGUGUCUUUUUAUUGAACAUAACUCUGUGGCAGACCAGGAGCUGGGCUCAAGGGCGCCCCCUUCCCCCCAGCUUCCAGAAGCUUCUGGUUGAUUCCAGGAAUGGCAGAGUGAUGAGCAGGCAGAAAUCUUUAAGAGGGUUCCUUUUCUCUCCAUCUGUCCUAUAAUAGAUUCAUAGGUAGAUUUUUUUUUGAUGGAUGUCCAACAUCCAUUUUCUUUCUUUUGAUCUUAUCUUUUGGGAAUUACUCCUUAGCCAUGUGGUGUGACACUCAUAGGGCUGGCUUUUUUAAAAAAAAAAAUUUUAAUGUUUAUUUAUUUUUGAGACAGAGACAGAGUGUGAGAGGGGGAGGAGCAGAGAGAGAGGGAGGCACAGCAUCCGAAGCAGGCUCCAGGCUCUAGGCUCUGAGCUGUCAGCACAGAGCCCGGUGUAGGGCUCAAACUCACGAACCACGAGAUCAGGACCUGAGCUGAAGUCGGAGGCUCAACCCACUGAGCCACCCGGGUGCCCCACAGUGGGUUGGCUUCUGAUGCAAACCAGAGUGGCCAGGCAACUCUCUCUAGAAUUUGCUUUUGAAUGGAGGGACAUGGUAAUGAGAAAUGUCUGAACCUGCUUCAUCUAGAGUCCCGCACCCUGAAGAGACGUUCCUUUGGUUCCUGGAACUUUAAGACCCUGGUGCUGCCCACCUUCCUUUCUUUAUUGUGCAUUUACUCAUAUCAUAUCUAUAUGUAUAUAGACAUAUACAUCACACACACACACACACACACACACACACACAUUUUCCCCCCUUGUAUUGGCCAAUUGCUCUCUGUUGCUUGCAACCAAAGACGUCUAACUAAUACAUACCCUUUUCUAGCAUCUUUCUGCCUUGUUUUUCCUACCUGUAAAGUAAGAAUGGUAACACUUGCUACUUACCCUCGGGAGGUUGUCUAG
rnacentral:lncRNA from 1 species